ACCCUACGGGGGGCAGCAGUAGGGAAUUUUCGUCAAUGGGCGCAAGCCUGAACGAGCAAUGCCGCGUGAGGGAAGACGGUCCUAUGGAUUGUAAACCUCUUUAGGCGGGGAGCAAUGCCGGGCACGUGUGCCCGGAGGGAGAGUACCCGCAGAAUAAGCAUCGGCUAACUCCGUGCCAGCAGCCGCGGUAAUACGGAGGAUGCGAGCGUUAUCCGGAUUUAUUGGGUUUAAAGGGUGCGUAGGCGGAUUUUUAAGUCAGCGGUAAAAUGUCCGGGCUCAACCCGGGCCGGCCGUUGAAACUGGGG
rnacentral:rRNA from 1 species